rnacentral:rRNA from 1 species
UACGAAGGGGGCGAGCGUUGUUCGGAUUUACUGGGCGUAAAGGGCGCGUAGGCGGCCUUGUCAGUCAGGCGUGAAAGCCCCGGGCUCAACCUGGGAACGGCGCUUGGGACGGCGAGGCUGGAGUUCGGGAGAGGAGAGUGGAAUUCCCAGUGUAGAGGUGAAAUUCGUAGAUAUUGGGAAGAACACCGGUGGCGAAGGCGGCUCUCUGGACCGACACUGACGCUGAGGCGCGAAAGCGUGGGGAGCAAACCGG